ACACCGGCAGCUCUAGUGGUAGCAAUUUUUAUUGGGCCUAAAGCGUCCGUAGCCGGUUUAAUAAGUCUCUGGUGAAAUCCUGCAGCUUAACUGUGGGAAUUGCUGGAGAUACUAUUAGACUUGAGAUCGGGAGAGGUUAGAGGUACUCCCAGGGUAGAGGUGAAAUUCUGUAAUCCUGGGAGGACCGCCUGUUGCGAAGGCGUCUAACUGGAACGAUUCUGACGGUGAGGGACGAAAGUUAGGGGCGCGAACCGGAUUAGAUACCCGGGUAGUCCUAACUGUAAACGAUGCGGACUUGGUGUUGGGGUGGCUUUGAGCUGCUCCAGUGCCGAAGGGAAGCUGUUAAGUCCGCCGCCUGGGAAGUACGGUCGCAAGACUGAAACUCAAAUGAAUUGACGGGG
rnacentral:rRNA from 1 species